rnacentral:rRNA from 1 species
GACGAACGCUGGCGGCGUGCUUAACACAUGCAAGUCGAACGGAAAGGCCCUGCUUUUGUGGGGUGCUCGAGUGGCGAACGGGUGAGUAACACGUGAGUAACCUGCCCUUGACUUUGGGAUAACUUCAGGAAACUGGGGCUAAUACCGGAUAGGAGCUCCUGCUGCACGGUGGGGGUUGGAAAGUUUCGGCGGUUGGGGAUGGACUCGCGGCUUAUCAGCUUGUUGGUGGGGUAGUGGCUUACCAAGGCUUUGACGGGUAGCCGGCCUGAGAGGGUGACCGGCCACAUUGGGACUGAGAUACGGCCCAGACUCCUACGGGAGGCGGCAGUGGGGAAUAUUGCACAAUGGGCGGAAGCCUGAUGCAGCAACGCCGCGUGCGGGAUGACGGCCUUCGGGUUGUAAACCGCUUUCGCCUGUGACGAAGCGUGAGUGACGGUAAUGGGUAAAGAAGCACCGGCUAACUACGUG